GCACGGGUGAGUAACACGUAUCCAACCUGCCGUCUACUCUUGGACAGCCUUCUGAAAGGAAGAUUAAUACAAGAUGGCAUCAUGAGUCCGCAUGUUCACAUGAUUAAAGGUAUUCCGGUAGACGAUGGGGAUGCGUUCCAUUAGAUAGUAGGCGGGGUAACGGCCCACCUAGUCUUCGAUGGAUAGGGGUUCUGAGAGGAAGGUCCCCCACAUUGGAACUGAGACACGGUCCAAACUCCUACGGGAGGCAGCAGUGAGGAAUAUUGGUCAAUGGGCGAGAGCCUGAACCAGCCAAGUAGCGUGAAGGAUGACUGCCCUAUGGGUUGUAAACUUCUUUUAUAAAGGAAUAAAGUCGGGUAUGGAUACCCGUUUGCAUGUACUUUAUGAAUAAGGAUCGGCUAACUCCGUGCCAGCAGCCGCGGUAAUACGGAGGAUUCGAGCGUUAUCCGGAUUUAUUGGGUUUAAAGGGAGCGUAGAUGGAUGUUUAAGUCAGUUGUGAAAGUUUGCGGCUCAACCGUAAAAUUGCAGUUGAUACUGGAUAUCUUGAGUGCAGUUGAGGCAGGCGGAAUUCGUGGUGUAGCGGUGAAAUGCUUAGAUAUCACGAAGAACUCCGAUUGCGAAGGCAGCCUGCUAAGCUGCAACUGACAUUGAGGCUCGAAAGUGUGGGUAUCAAACAGGAUUAGAUACCCUGGUAGUCCACACGGUAAACGAUGAAUACUCGUUGUUUGCGAUAUACUGCAAGCGGCCA
rnacentral:rRNA from 1 species